rnacentral:rRNA from 1 species
UACGUAGGGUGCAAGCGUUGUCCGGAAUUAUUGGGCGUAAAGAGCGUGUAGGCGGUCCGGUAAGUCCGCUGUGAAAGUCGGGGGCUCAACCCUCGAAUGCCGGUGGAUACUGUCGGGCUAGAGUGCGGAAGAGGCGAGUGGAAUUCCGUGGUGUAGCGGUGAAUGACGCAGAGUAUCAGGAGGAACACCUAUUGCGAAGGCAGCUCGCUGGGACGUAACUGACGCUGAGACGCGAAAGCGUGGGGAGCAAACAGG